GCAGUAGUGGUUCAAUGGUAGAAUUUUCACCUUCCAUGUGGGAGACCCAGGUUCAAUUCCCAGCCACUACU
rnacentral:tRNA from 1 species